GGGGGUGUGGCUCAGUGGUAGAGUGCUUGCCUUGCAUGCAUGGGGCACUGGAUUCCAUCCUCAGCACCACAUAAAGAUAAAUAAAAUAAAAGGUAUUGUGUCCAUCUACAACUAAAAUAUAUAUAUAUAUUUUUUAAAAAGGGGGGGGCAUGGCCUGUGGGUGGAGCUUAGUGAUAGAAUGUGUGCUUAGUAUGAGGCCCUGAAUUCAAUCCUCAGCACCACAG
rnacentral:tRNA from 1 species